GGUAGAGUUGGGAUUUGAAGGCAGCUCUGCCAGCUCCAAACCCUUUGCACAACACCCCUGCUUCUCAUACUUGAGCACGCAUUUGAGCCCUUGGAGAUCUUGUUAUCAUGCACAUCCUAACUCAGUCUUUUGGGAGCAGCGUCUCUCUAACGGGCUUCUUCCGGAUGUCAAUGCUGCCGGACCGUGGAGCACUGGGAGUAGCAAGGCUUAUGACACAACCUCUCCUCCCCUCCCCUUACUGUGCUGAGCUCUUUUCCCUCUUGGGCCUGGGCACUUGCUACCCCACAGCCCGGGACUCUCCUCUGACAUAAGCUAAGUAGCACGAGGGCAGUGAUUGCUUCCUUGCAUGUGUCCUGCACGUGGGAGCGGGAGUCACAGAUUCUGCCAGUGAUCUGGGGAAUUCAGACCACUUCCCGGCGGCCUGUUUGUACCUUUCCUUCAGCUCGCUGGAGCCUUUCCCCUACUAGGAUUCUGUGAACUGACACAGACAGCACUCAGGUUUCCAGCUAACCUGUGCCUUUUGUUUGCAGCCUCCUGAGAAAUAAGGAGUGCGUGGAGAGCCCAUUGCUUCCCUGCCCUUCAGAGUAGCCACUUGGCACCUGUGGCGACUUAAGCUUCCAUCGAUUACAACCAAAUACAAAUAAAAACCCAGUUCUUAGUUGUGCUGGCUGCAUCGGAGUGGACACACCCGUGUGGCCAGUGACUACUGCUUGGGACAGUGAGAUGGAAGAACGCGUCUGCAUCGUCACAGAAAGUCCCAUUUGGACGGUGCCGCUCGGUUUCUGUGACACUAACUAGAUCUCCCCGGUACCGUUCCGUCAGGGCUAAGACAAAGAAGACUGUCAAUGUCUACCUUGACCUGGGUCUGUCUUGUCCUCCCUCGGCUGUCACCUCUCUUUCAGCUGGAGGUGUCCGAGGAGAGUGCCUGUGCCACUGGAGACCCCGUCACCGAGAGUCCCACGGUCAGCGUCCGACUGGCAGAUCUGCCCAGCGGCGGAAGUGCUCUCUCAGCAAACGUGCAUCGGACGGAUGGGGCCGGGGCCCCUGCCGUGCCCACCGCCUAGGGGUCCCCUCCACAAGAGCUCCAGGGGAACGGACAGCCUGAGGGUGUGACAUGGCUGUGAAGUCAGAGUGCAGUAAGCCCUCGGUUUGCAGGCCGGGAAAUGAGGAAGUGUCCACCCACGGCGCAAUGUGAAAUGGUAGGAGGGUCACUGUGACUGGCCUCGACGCCCGGCAGUCCAGCCCGAUGACCCAAGGGUCAGCGACGCUCAGAGCAGAAACCCAGCAAAGCAAGGAGGCCUCAUGGAAUUUCACUUCAGCUUUUAGGCUCUUUGCAGCCACGAGUUGUUUUGUUCACUUUUCCCUCACCUUUGCUUUCUUGCUUGCUUCCCAGGCUGGAAUC